GACGAACGCUGGCGGCGUGCUUAACACAUGCAAGUCGAACGAUGAAGCCGGAGCUUGCUCUGGUGAAUUAGUGGCGAACGGGUGAGUAACACGUGAGUAACCUGCCCUUGACUCUGGGAUAACUGCUAGAAAUGGUAGCUAAUACCGGAUACGACCCUCGGCGGCAUCGCCAGGGGGUGGAAAGAAUUUCGGUCAAGGAUGGACUCGCGGCCUAUCAGCUAGUUGGUGAGGUAACGGCUCACCAAGGCGACGACGGGUAGCCGGCCUGAGAGGGUGACCGGCCACACUGGGACUGGGACACGGCCCAGACUCCUACGGGAGGCAGCAGUGGGGAAUAUUGCACAAUGGGCGAAAGCCUGAUGCAGCAACGCCGCGUGAGGGACGACGGCCUUCGGGUUGUAAACCUCUUUUAGCAGGGAAGAAGCGAAAGUGACGGUACCUGCAGAAAAAGCGCCGGCUAACUACGUGCCAGCAGCCGCCGUAA
rnacentral:rRNA from 1 species